rnacentral:rRNA from 1 species
UGGAGUUAAAGNCAUUGGCUCAACCAAUGUAUGCUUUGGAAACUGUUAGACUNGAGUGCAGAAGGGGAGAGUGGAAUUCCAUGUGUAGCGGUGAAAUGCGUAGAUAUAUGGAGGAACACCGGUGGCGAAAGCGGCUCUCUGGUCUGUCACUGACGCUGAGGCUCGAAAGCGUGGGUAGCGAACAGGAUUAGAUACCCUGGUAGUNCACGCCGUAAACGCUGAGUGCUAGGUGUUAGGUCCUUUCCGGGACUUAGUGCCGACGCUAACGCAUUAAGCACUCCGCCUGGGGAGUACGACCGCAAGGUUGAAACUCAAAGGAAUUGACGGGGGCCCGCACAAGCGGUGGAGCAUGUGGUUUAAUUCGAAGCAACGCGGAGAACCUUACCAGGUCUUGACAUCCCGAUGCCCGCUCUAGAGAUAGAGUUUUUCUUCGGAACAUCGGAGACAGGUGGUGCAUGGUUGUCGUCAGCUCGUGUCGUGAGAUGUUGGGUUAAGUCCCGCAACGAGCGCAACCCUUAUUGUUAGUUGCCAUCAUUAAGUUGGGCACUCUAGCGAGACUGCCGGUAAUAAACCGGAGGAAGGUGGGGAUGACGUCAAAUCAUCAUGCCCCUUAUGACCUGGGCUACACACGUGCUACAAUGGUUGGUACAACGAGUCGCAAGCCGGUGACGGCAAGCUAAUCUCUGAAAGCCAAUCUCAGUUCGGAUUGUAGGCUGCAACUCGCCUACAUGAGGUCGGAAUCGCUAGUAAUCGCGGAUCAGCACGCCGCGGUGAAUACGUUCCCGGGCCUUGUACACACCGCCCGUCACACCACGAGAGUUUGUAACACCCAAAGUCGGUGAGGUAACCAUUUAUGGGGCCAGCCGCCUA